UACGAAGGGGGGCGAGCGUUGUUCGGAAUUACUGGGCGUAAAGGGCGCGCAGGCGGCUCUGAAAGUCAGAUGUGAAAGCCCCGGGCUUAACCUGGGAAUUGCAUUUGAUACUCUGGAGCUUGAGUACGGGAGAGGAUAGUGGAAUUCCCAGUGUAGAGGUGAAAUUCGUAGAUAUUCGCAAGAACACCAGUGGCGAAGGCGGCUCACUGGCCCGAUACUGACGCUGAGGCACGAAAGCGUGGGGGAGCAAACAGG
rnacentral:rRNA from 1 species